rnacentral:lncRNA from 1 species
AGGGAGGUUCAGGAAGCCAUUCGUUCUUUCGCGUCUGCGGUGCCCGGAGUGUGGUACUUCUCCUAGUUGCAGUCAGGCUUCAUACGCUAUUGUCCUGCCCGUUAGAGCAGCCAGCGGGUACAGAAUGGAUUUUGGAAGAGGGAGUCACCACUGGACCUCCAAGGAAGCCACGUGCAGACAUCUACAACCUUCGAUCUCCUGACGAGUUUAUUGUUGGCCAAAACCAGGCUUUGAUUGAACCAGGAUGAAUGCGGGUGUUGGAAGUAGAAUAUAUAUAUACAUAUAAAAUUGAAACUGGCGAUGGAAUAUGAGAGGAGCCCUCUGGAAAGAAAAGGACAGACCCUGUGCUUUCAUGAAAGUGAAGAUCUGGCUGAACCAGUUCCACAAGAUUUUGCCUGCCUGAGCUCCUCUAGUAGUGGCCACAAUUGCCAGAGAAGAUAGAGCAGGUCUCUCCCAGGACUUGCAGCUCCAGCCUGUGUCUGCAAGGGGUGUUGUAGCGACUGAUUUCUCCAGCCCAUGGCAAGAGGCCUUCAUCUUGUGCCUGGAAAGAGGGAAGUACAAGUCCGUCUGGCAGAGAUGGUGCAGAUGGGCAAGUUUUUCAGACACUGCAGCCAGCACUUCUGGGACCGCAGCAGUGGAGCCUGCAGAGGGCCGGUUCUCCAGGCAUGGGCUACUGACAUUGUCACUUCCAGACUCCUUAUGCAAUAAACAACCCCUAAACAGAUUUAUUCACAAUUUCUCCAUCCUAACAAGUCAGUGAUCAGUUUUCACUUUUCCACAUUCCCUUCUGUCCCCAUUAUGUUCCCAUAGUGGGGCAGCUUCUACCUGCAUGGUUGGAGCUUCCCAUUUUUAAAGAGGCAAGAAAUCCUUUAAAGUUCUUUGAAAUGUUUGUAGCCUGUUCCAAUUUUAUAAACUGUGAAGACUGAGCAACACACAAUGCAUGGGCCUCAUAUGGCCUGGAGGCCACCAG